rnacentral:tRNA from 1 species
GCGGGUGGAGCAGCUCGGUAGCUCGCUGGGCUCAUAACCCAGAGGUCGCAGGUUCAAAUCCUGUCCCCGCA